CCAACAGCAACACAACUGUUUGCUCCUGCCUGCUGGCACUGACAGACCACUCUGUCAAAGCCACCCCACAACAGGAGCGCCACAGCUGUAGGGGGAGAGAAAAGCUGGGUCAGUAUGCUGGGAGCUGUGCACAUCCCUGCUUGGCAUUUUCCUUUUACCUGAGACUCCGUGUCCCUUCUGCAAAAUGGGAGUUUGCAGCUGAGCUUCCUCCUCCCCAGCCUUUUCCAGCUCAGUGUUCUCUAUGGGGUACGUGGACAACCAAGGGUCCUGCUUUUUGCAGGGGUGAGUUUCCUGCUCCUCUCACUGGGCUGGAGGCAGCUGGGUGGGCUCUCCUUUGCCUAGUAAGGUGUGAUAUCACUCCACACCACAGGACCUUUCUGCCAGCAAGAACAUUAGAAGGAUUUCCUCUCCUCCACCCAGUGCCCGCUGCAAUAUCCCAGAAGCUUCUUGCUCUUCACAUGCCCUCUCUCCUGCUGAGUGGGUUGAAACAGUGUGCUCCAAAAUUGAGAGGGGAGGCACAGCAGCCCCCUGUGCACAUCUCUACAGAGGCAGUGCUGGAGCAGAUGCCUGUCCCUGAGGACACUGGGCAAGCCUGUGUUUGAGCAUGAGCAAAUUAUUCUGUGCUUACUGCCGUCAGAAGAUGCCAGCUCUUGGGAGCCUCACAAUGGAAUUGCAACAAAAGCCUUGGAAAAGGGAAGCCUGGUGACAGGGAGGUGACCGAUCUGAGUGGUGCCACCACUGCCAGAGAGCAGGAUUCCUGCACCCCGUGCAGCAGCCUGUGUGUAUCCACAGCCUGUGUCAUCCCUGCAGGGCCACGGGGUGUCCCUUUGGCUUUUCAGGCCGUGGGCUCAGGCAGGGGAUGGUGCCCAGUGUGGCGUGGGUGGAGGUGCUGCUGAGCAGAGGCAAAUCUUGCUGCUCCUUGGCUUAUUCAGCGUUUCUCUUGAUCAGAAAGUACUAAAGCUCAGAAACUCAGCAGAGGCUGUGCCAGAGUGUUUCAGCUGGUUAUUGAGAUCCCUUGCUAAACCCCUUCGGCACAUCGUCAGGCUGACAAACACAAGCAUUGCUGAAAAAAACGGAGACACUGCAUUUGAAAAUUGUGCUGAAACCCGGCGUUCAGCCUUCUCUGCAAGAAAAUGUGAUUAAACAUCUCCUCUUUAGCUUGAAAACACUUGCCAAGUUUUAUCUGAAAAUUCAUUACACCCUCUCUCCACAUACGUUUUCCAAUGAAUGCACUAUUUAUCUCCAUCCUAUUAAAAAAUAUACAUAAAUAUCUGUCUCUUGCUGUAACACCAGACUGCGGGGCUCAUGUGUGGGUUCAGAGCCAGACUUGCUUUGAGCCUCUUCUUUCUCCUAUGUGUCCAUAAUUGUGCUGGAAAUCUCUGGAUGAUGGACUUCCAAUCAUGUCUUGGGGAAGGGAGAGGCCACUUCCCAAGGGAAAACUAAAUAAUUUCAAAAAGCCCAGAAAAGCCAAAAAAACCCCAAACCAACACAAACAAACCAGAAAAACAAACCAACCCAAAACCUCUUGGAAAUAAAAAUGUGUAAUCUUCAGGCUCACUGGUUGCUUUGGAGCACCAGGGAAGUGAUCCUUGGUGUCUAGCACUGAGCUAUCCAAGUGCUUCAAGUCCUGAUCUCCCCAACCAAACCCUCCUCCUAAUGGGGAAUAUUUAUCCUGCGUUGUCAGAAGUCUGCUCCAGGGUGGGAGCUAAUAUUAAUUAUAUGACAAACACAUCCUUGGGCAGUGAUUU